UCCCUGGUGGUCUAGUGGUUAGGAUUCAGUGCUUUUGCUGUUGUGGCCCAGGUUCAAACCCUGGUCAGGGAA